rfam:Cordyceps militaris CM01 unplaced genomic scaffold CCM_S00005, whole genome shotgun sequence.
UCCCCUGUAGCUCAGUUGGCUAGAGCGUCAGACUGUUAAUCUGAAGGUCGUAAGUUCAAACCUUACCGGGGGAG